AAUCUAUACAAACCCAACAAUGUCGUUAUUAAACUGUGACCCCAACAUAAUGAUUAUUUGAGAAGCCCACAGAGCAACCCGCUGAGCAUUAAUGAUUUUGGAUACAAGCUUCCUAGAUUCACCAUCACAGAAGACGAUCUACUAGCUGCUGCCAAAGAGAUGAGGAUCCCACAGAGCAUAGUUGCUGCAAUUACUCAAGACAUUUUCAUAAAGAGCUGCCAAAUAAACUACCGCAUGGAUCAGCCAGCCGGUGUUUAAAGUGUGCAUAAUCUGUCCAGACACAUCAUUGCGGACCGUUGAUAACUGCUUCAAUGAUUUUGCAAUUCAGCUAACGGGCAAUUUGAAACUACCAAGCCAGCUACCAAGAGUGGCAUCAUAAUGCCAAAUCCUAAACAGAAGCUUUAUUUGUCACAGCAUGAUAAAUGGGGGAAGAUUUUCCAUUCACUCGUGAUUUAAUGUUUGUAACGGAAAAUCUAUUGAAAAUCCUUCCUGGCUGCUGGGAUAGGAAGAUGCUGUCAACUCUAGCAACAAUAACUAUUUAUUGCAUUAUUUUAAUUGCGUUAACAAGGAUGCCGCAUUACCAAUAAUACUGCAUAUUUCUUGAAUUACCUGGAUUUCUAAAAGUAGUGAAUCCUUCAAAUUGGCAUGCUUCAGAUUUGUUUACCAAGAAAGACAUGUCCCUGUCGUCUGCAAAUAAUGUGAUUGGCAACCUCUGGACUUGCUGCUAAAUAGUAAAGGCACUUGGGUAACAAAUUGGUAAAUGCAAAUAGUAAAGGUGCCAAGCAGCAGCUGAUUGUACAGAUUAAUCAAACACAAUAAACUCGAGCUGAAUGCUUCAAAAUCAACUUCCAAAAUCUAGUUAGGCGUAAAACAGAGACUAAACCUCUGAUAUUACAGGAAUGCCUCAUGGCACAUCUUUGCCUGUUUUGUAGAAUAAACUCGUAUAGGUGUUAUGAUCUCAUUUUCUGACAUCCCUGAAGUCGUUCUUUAACUUGUAUCUCACAAGUCAAAAUUAGUAUCACUAUAGAGAGUUAUGUUGAAACUACGAUGGGGAUCCUCAAACUAUCACUUGCAAGGUAACAUACAAACGUUUCCCAAGAGGGUAAAUGUAUCUACAUUAGAACGUAAUGAUGUAUUUCAAGCUUCCAAUGCCAAGAGAAAAUAGGUCCCAGCCACCUCAACACUCACUUCUAUACACAGACAUACAGCUCUUAAAUGUCUAGAGGGUAUACGUGGCAUGGCAAAAACAUAUCAGCAUCUUCUACCAAUAAAAAACUA